rnacentral:rRNA from 1 species
GACGAACGCUGGCGGCGUGCUUAACACAUGCAAGUCGAACGGUAAGGCCCUUUCGGGGGUCCACGAGUGGCGCACGGGUGAGUAACACGUGGGUGAUCUGCCCUGCACUUUGGGAUAAGCCUGGGAAACUGGGUCUAAUACCGGAUAGGACUACGCGAUGCAUGUCGUGUGGUGGAAAGCUUUUGCGGUGUGGGAUGGGCCCGCGGCCUAUCAGCUUGUUGGUGGGGUGAUGGCCUACCAAGGCGACGACGGGUAGCCGGCCUGAGAGGGUGUCCGGCCACACUGGGACUGAGAUACGGCCCAGACUCCUACGGGAGGCAGCAGUGGGGAAUAUUGCACAAUGGGCGCAAGCCUGAUGCAGCGACGCCGCGUGGGGGAUGACGGCCUUCGGGUUGUAAACCCCUUUCAGCACAGACGAAGCGUAAGUGACGGUAUGUGCAGAAGAAGCACCGGCCAACUACGUG